ACACUUCUUCUCUCUAUUCUCUCAACUCUUUGGGCUUCCUUUAGCUCAUGGAUUCACUGUUCAAGAGUAAUUCUUCUCGUUACUCUUUAGGUGUUCCUUCUUUUUCGAUUCCAGAAUUUCGGUUGCGUAUCAGUGUGGAUGUUUGCUCCUUAAAUCAAGUGAUUACGUGCAAGAACAAACUGCAAAUUGUAAGAAAAGAAGCAGAUGAUGCAAAGUCAUAUAUUCUCACAAGUUAGCAACUGGCAGAUAUAUACAAGGCAUAUCUGGAUUACAAAAACAAAUCACAUGUCACUGUCUUACUUUCUAGGUUAUUAGUAUUCAUCUUGCAGAAGCAAAAUUAUCGAAGUAUGCAGAUGUUGUGGUAACGAAUACGCUUUUGGUCACAAUAUAUAUUCUCCAAGGAGUUCUACUUCCAUGAAUGGGAUAAGAAUGGAGUCUUUUUUUGAAAAACUAGACAGAUACCUGAGGGAUAUGAGUAUAGUAUCUUUCGGCUUAGAGGAUACUGCAAACAAGAAGGCUUAUAACUAAGAAUGGAGGACUUUCAAAAGUGAUGCACUCUUCUUUGGAGGGACUUUCAAAAAGGGAUGCAGCUUGUAUGGUCCAGUAU